rnacentral:rRNA from 1 species
UACGUAGGGGGCGAGCGUUGUCCGGAUUUAUUGGGCGUAAAGAGCGUGUAGGCGGCCAGGUAGGUCUGCUGUGAAAACUCGAGGCUCAACCUCGAGACGUCGGCGGAAACCAUCUGGCUAGAGUCCGGAAGAGGAGAGUGGAAUUCCUGGUGUAGCGGUGAAAUGCGCAGAUAUCAGGAAGAACACCCGUGGCGAAGGCAGGUCUCUGGGCAUUAACUGACGCUGAGGAGCGAAAGCAUGGGGGAGCGAACAGG